GGAGAGAUUAGAGUGGGCCUCACCUUCACUCCAGAGGAUCGCCAAAACCGUGGUUUCCAGGCAGAGGAGGAAAGCUUCGGAGGAUGGAAGGAGUCUGCAGCAACUUAUUAAGCACCUUGGUUUGGAAAUGGCGAUGAUUGGGCUUGUUUGGCUUUAAAGUUGAUGUGUGUGAGAACUUGUUUUGAGAACCUUUUGAUGUUGAGACAAACUUGGCUUCAUGUAUGGCAUUAGUAAUAGUAAUAAG
rnacentral:misc_RNA from 1 species